GAGUUUGAUCUUGGCUCAGAUUGAACGCUGGCGGCAUGCCUUACACAUGCAAGUCGAACGGCAGCAUGAUCUAGCUUGCUAGAUUGAUGGCGAGUGGCGAACGGGUGAGUAAUACAUCGGAACGUGCCCUGUAGUGGGGGAUAACUAGUCGAAAGAUUAGCUAAUACCGCAUACGACCUGAGGGUGAAAGUGGGGGACCGCAAGGCCUCAUGCUAUAGGAGCGGCCGAUGUCUGAUUAGCUAGUUGGUGGGGUAAAGGCCCACCAAGGCGACGAUCAGUAGCUGGUCUGAGAGGACGAUCAGCCACACUGGGACUGAGACACGGCCCAGACUCCUACGGGAGGCAGCAGUGGGGAAUUUUGGACAAUGGGCGAAAGCCUGAUCCAGCAAUGCCGCGUGUGUGAAGAAGGCCUC
rnacentral:rRNA from 1 species